rnacentral:rRNA from 1 species
AACGAACGCUGGCGGCGUGGAUAAGACAUGCAAGUCGAACGGGACAGACCGAGUAGCAAUAUUUGGAAUGUUCAGUGGCGAACGGGUGCGUAACACGUGGAUAACAUUCCGGAAAGCGGGGAAUAGCCCAGGGAAACUUGGAUUAAUACCGCAUGUGGCCGCAAGGCUAAAGACGGGGACCGCAAGGCCUGUCACUUUCCGAUUGGUCCGCGGCCUAUCAGCUAGUUGGCGGGGUAAUGGCCCACCAAGGCUACGACGGGUAGCUGGUCUUAGAGGACGACCAGCCACACUGGAACUGAGACACGGUCCAGACACCUACGGGUGGCAGCAGUCGAGAAUCUUUCACAAUGGGGGCAACCCUGAUGGAGCGACGCCGCGUGGAGGAUAAGGUCUUCGGAUUGUAAACUCCUGUCAUACGAGAACAAGGUACUCAGGCUAAUAACCUGAUUGUUUGAUGGUACCGCAAGAGAAAGAGACGGCUAACUCUGUGCCAGCAGCCGCAGUAACAC